rnacentral:rRNA from 1 species
UACGAAGGGGGCUAGCGUUGUUCGGAAUUACUGGGCGUAAAGCGCGCGCAGGCGGUCCUUCAAGUCAGAGGUGAAAGCCCAGAGCUCAACUCUGAAUGGCCUUUGAGACUAGAGGACUUGGGUACGGGAGAGGUGAGUGGAAUUCCGAGUGUAGAGGUGAAAAUUCGUAGAUAUUCGGAAGAACACCAGUGGCGAAGGCGGCUCACUGGCCCGU